rnacentral:rRNA from 1 species
GCUAAACGCGAAGAACCUUACCAAGGCUUGACAUGCAUCUCUAAGCGCGUGAAAGCGCGUGACCCUUCGGGGAAUUUGCACAGGUGCUGCAUGGCCGUCGUCAGCUCGUGUCGUGAGAUGUUGGGUUAAGUCCCGCAACGAGCGCAACCCCUGUGAUUAGUUGCCAGCGGAUAAUGCCGGGGACUCUAGUCAGACUGCCCAGAUCAACUGGGAGGAAGGUGGGGACGACGUCAGGUCAGUAUGGCCCUUACGCCUUGGGCUGCACACGUACUACAAUGCCCAGUACAAUGAGAACCGAGACCGCGAGGUGGAGGAAAUCUGCAAAACUGGGCCCAGUUCGGAUUGGAGGCUGCAACUCGCCUCCAUGAAGCCGGAAUCGCUAGUAAUGCUGCAUCAGCUACGGCAGCGUGAGUACGUUCCCGGGUCUUGUACACACCG